rnacentral:rRNA from 1 species
GUAGGUGGCAAGCGUUGUCCGGAAUUAUUGGGCGUAAAGCGCGCGCAGGCGGUUCUUUAAGUCUGAUGUGAAAGCCCACGGCUCAACCGUGGAGGGUCAUUGGAAACUGGAGAACUUGAGUACAGAAGAGGAAAGCGGAAUUCCACGUGUAGCGGUGAAAUGCGUAGAGAUGUGGAGGAACACCAGUGGCGAAGGCGGCUUUCUGGUCUGUAACUGACGCUGAGGCGCGAAAGCGUGGGGAGCAAACAGGAUUAGAUACCCUGGUAGUCCACGCCGAAACGAUGAGUGCUAAGUGUUAGGGGGGUUUCCGCCCCCCUUAGUGCUGCAGCUAACGCAUUAAGCACUCCGCCUGGGAGUACGGCCGCAAGGCUG